AAGCUGGUCGCAAGCGAAGGGUUCGUGAUGAAGCAAAACCACUGUCGGUGGUAGAUGAAGCCUUGCCGAUUGAAAAGUUUCAUUGCCCUGAUUCGUUCAAUACCACAUUCAAAGAAAUACCUGAGGACUUCAAGCGAGUCUCCGUCACCCUGGAUGUGGAAACAGCGCAUGCGCGGCUCGAGGUGUCUGAGGAUCGGAAGAGAGUGAGAGUGACCGAGACCUGGAGGAGUCUCCCUGACACCGGGAAGAGGU